rnacentral:rRNA from 1 species
CCUACGGGAGGCAGCAGUGGGGAAUUUUGGACAAUGGGCGAAAGCCUGAUCCAGCAAUGCCGCGUGAGUGAAGAAGGCCUUCGGGUUGUAAAGCUCUUUUGUCAGGGAAGAAACGGUGAAAGCUAAUAUCUUUUGCUAAUGACGGUACCUGAAGAAUAAGCACCGGCUAACUACGUGCCAGCAGCCGCGGUAAUACGUAGGGUGCAAGCGUUAAUCGGAAUUACUGGGCGUAAAGCGUGCGCAGGCGGUUUUGUAAGUCUGAUGUGAAAUCCCCGGGCUCAACCUGGGAAUUGCAUUGGAGACUGCAAGGCUAGAAUCUGGCAGAGGGGGGUAGAAUUCCACGUGUAGCAGUGAAAUGCGUAGAUAUGUGGAGGAACACCGAUGGCGAAGGCAGCCCCCUGGGUCAAGAUUGACGCUCAUGCACGAAAGCGUGGGGAGCAAACAGGAUUAGAUACCCUGGUAGUCCACGCCCUAAACGAUGUCUACUAGUUGUCGGGUCUUAAUUGACUUGGUAACGCAGCUAACGCGUGAAGUAGACCGCCUGGGGAGUACGGUCGCAAGAUUAAAACUCAAAGGAAUUGACGG